rnacentral:rRNA from 1 species
UUCCCCCUCGGGGGGGGGGGUCAGUUGGGAAUCUUCCACAAUGGGCGCAAGCCUGAUGGAGCAACACCGCGUGAGUGAAGAAGGGUUUCGGCUCGUAAAGCUCUGUUGUUGGAGAAGAACGUGCGUGAGAGUAACUGUUCACGCAGUGACGGUAUCCAACCAGAAAGUCACGGCUAACUACGUGCCAGCAGCCGCGGUAAUACGUAGGUGGCAAGCGUUAUCCGGAUUUAUUGGGCGUAAAGCGAGCGCAGGCGGUUGCUUAGGUCUGAUGUGAAAGCCUUCGGCUUAACCGAAGAAGUGCAUCGGAAACCGGGCGACUUGAGUGCAGAAGAGGACAGUGGAACUCCAUGUGUAGCGGUGGAAUGCGUAGAUAUAUGGAAGAACACCAGUGGCGAAGGCGGCUGUCUGGUCUGCAACUGACGCUGAGGCUCGAAAGCAUGGGUAGCGAACAGGAUUAGAUACCCUGGUAGUCCAUGCCGUAAACGAUGAGUGCUAGGUGUUGGAGGGUUUCCGCCCUUCAGUGCCGGAGCUAACGCAUUAAGCACUCCGCCUUGGAGUUCACGAA